rnacentral:rRNA from 1 species
UACACUCCUACGGGAGGCAGCAGUGGGGAAUUUUGGACAAUGGGCGAAAGCCUGAUCCAGCCAUGCCGCGUGCAGGAUGAAGGCCUUCGGGUUGUAAACUGCUUUUGUACGGAACGAAACGGCCUUUUCUAAUAAAGAGGGCUAAUGACGGUACCGUAAGAAUAAGCACCGGCUAACUACGUGCCAGCAGCCGCGGUAAUACGUAGGGUGCAAGCGUUAAUCGGAAUUACUGGGCGUAAAGCGUGCGCAGGCGGUUAUGUAAGACAGUUGUGAAAUCCCCGGGCUCAACCUGGGAACUGCAUCUGUGACUGCAUAGCUAGAGUACGGUAGAGGGGGAUGGAAUUCCGCGUGUAGCAGUGAAAUGCGUAGAUAUGCGGAGGAACACCGAUGGCGAAGGCAAUCCCCUGGACCUGUACUGACGCUCAUGCACGAAAGCGUGGGGAGCAAACAGGAUUAGAAACCCUAGUAGUCCCAUGAU